CUAGGAUAGCCAGAGAUUUAAUAUUUAAUUUCUGCCACUGUCCAUAUUAAUUGUUUUAACAAAAUCUUAUUUUCUUGUCUCUGAUUCUAUAAAUCAGAGUGAAUUACAGACUGAAUUUGGUGCACUCCAAAUUUGCUGUUGUUAAAACUAGCUUUUCUCAGUGGACUGAGAGACUUAAAAUGGAGACCCACAUCCUUACUAAUAUAAACAUUUAUUUGCAUGCUUCACUAAUUUAACUGCAGGCGUAAUUUGGUCAAUGCAGGACAAUAAAAAUGUUGUUGUGUGUCUGCAUUCAAAGAAAUGAACAUGCAUAAUAACACCAAUGCAACCUUUGAUGAAUGGAGCAGCAUCCAUACCAGAUCACAGCCCUGCAGACUUCUUGGGAUAUUCCUAACAGCAAACUUUGGUACAUUCUAAUUACCCAGGAUAGACACAAGUGUCAUGACUACCUGUUUAUAGCUAGGCCUUUAAUCUACCUCGUAAAGUAAAAUGUUCUUCAUCAGAACCAGAUCUGCUGAAAUGGUAGCAGAAAUUGCCGGUAUUUUCCAAUAAUUUCAUUUUCAUUUUAUCAAAAUGAGGUGCAGUUUGAAAUAAUUUGGUGUGAGUACAGACUGAUCAAGCUAAUCUAGCAAAAACAUAGCUCAGUUUGGAGAGGCAAGAAAAACAAAAAUCUAAAUAUUAAUACUCUUCUAUUCCUGGAAAAGGAGGUUGGCUUUUAGGGUUAGCACAGCUAGCAAAAAUUUUCUACUUUGCAGGUUUCAUAGCCUGGGAACACUCAGCUGUAAAAGCAAUGAAGUUUCCUCAUUGUUCACCCACUGUGGAUCUGAUUCUCUUUCUGCAUGCGUCAAAAUUAGGCAAGAAGCUACAAAGCAGCAUAUUUAAAACCAAAGACUAAAACAAUGGUCUGAGAGCUCACCUGGCAGAAAUUGCUGACAUUCACCCUUCUUAAAACAGUAUUUUAUAAAGUCACUUUCAGCUUCAGAGAAUCUCCAGCCUACGACUACACCACAGUCAAGUUGUCAUAGAAAGGAGAAGACGUUCAGGAUCAUUUGAUAUUUUAUGAAGACAAUUUAAAGCUAUUUUAUACAGAGAAAAAAUGUGAAGUCUAAACUACUUUUCCAAGUUUCCAAUUAAAGGAGUCAAUGGCAGAAA